UCUACGGGCGGCAGCAGUGAGGAAUAUUGGUCAAUGGGCGCGAGCCUGAACCAGCCAAGUAGCGUGAAGGAUGACUGCCCUACGGGUUGUAAACUUCUUUUAUAAAGGAAUAAAGUGAGGCACGUGUGCCUUUUUGUCUGUACUUUAUGAAUAAGGAUCGGCUAACUCCGUGCCAGCAGCCGCGGUAAUACGGAGGAUCCGAGCGUUAUCCGGAUUUAGUGGGUGUAAAGGGAGCGUAGAUGGGAUGUUAAGUCAGUUGUGAAAGUUUGGGGCUCAACCGUAAAAUUGCAAUUGAUACUGGCAGUCUUGAGUACAGGUGAGGUAGGCGGAAUUCGUGGUGUAGCGGUGAAAUGCUUAGAUAUCACGAAGAACUCCGAUUGCGAAGGCAGCUUACUAAACUGCCACUGACAUUGAUGCUCGAAAGUGUGGGUAUCAAACAGGAUUAGAUACCCUAGUAGUC
rnacentral:rRNA from 1 species